UUUCAACGUUUAUUUAAAUUCUUGGAUUUUGUUUUAAGAGCCUGUUCCUACAGGAACCUAUGCAAUCAUAGAUCGGUACCUAGCUGAACAACAGGCUGUAUGGUCAGCUGGUCCCAGACGCCCAGUGACACUUCCUGGCCCAGGACCUUGGGGCAAAUGCUCAACUAUACCUACCCGCAGGGUGGAGCCACUCUGAACCUGGGGCUCCAUACUUUCUUGGCCAGGGGCCAAGUUUACCUUGUCAAUAAGGUACAUGUAGGGACACAUUCCUUGGAUUCUCUAUCUGUUCACAAAGGCUUUAUACUCACAAGUUCAAGCCCAGUGAGCGAUGUUCACAUUAUCAAACUCUGCAUAUCAAUAGAAUCCCGGAUAUCAAAGCGUUGAGCUUGUUUUUGAAGCAUUUGCACCAGCAACAGUCAUCAUCUCGAGUUACUGGCAUCUCUAUGGUGUGGAACCCUCCGUCUUUGAACAUCAUAACAGCACAUGAACCAGUGGCACUCAUCAUCUCAAGAUUCUGGUAUAUCCAUGGUGCAGGAUUCUCGGUCUGCAAAGAUCAUGCAGAGCGAACCUCAGAUGCCAUUUGAUGAAAUCAAACCAUUCAAUCAGAAACACAGCCUGUUGCAGCAGUUGUUACCAUAUUGACCCCAGUCAAACCUAAGAAGUCCAUAGAUAAAUACUUUUUUAGAUGUGCUAGUCUUUACGUACCUCCUGGUUUGUUCAGCACUUACUCUGACUCUUUGAAUUUAAUGACGGGUGAAAAUGAAUGACCUUGUUCAGUUCGAAAUGACACAUCACAACAAUUCAAGUGGAAAGCCAGAAAGUCAUGUCAACAGCCACAUUUUGUAUGUGUAACAGCCAAGUUGUUUCAAAGAAAAACAAUAUUUUACAUUUUAUUUUUUAUUUGACCAAUGUUUCAUGGGAAUUAUGAUGCUGUCAGUCUCUUUAUGUUGAAAGUUUUGGUUAAAAAUAGCAUGUUAAUUUUUUUUUUAAAGCACACAUAUUGCAUUUAUAUCCAAUGUCUUUGUCUGUAUAAUGAAUUUUUCACUACAUAUUUUGAUCCUUAUAAUGGUAAAUGUAUGGAAAAAACAAUUUUACCAAAGAUAUUCUAAGAUUGUCAAGUCUGUUUAAAUGAUGCUGGUAACUUUGACAAAAUUGAAAAAAAAGGAGUAUUUUCAUAUUAUAAGAUAUGUUUCAGUUGUCUGUUUUUACCCGUAAUAUAGAUAAGCUAAUUUAAUGAAUUGUUCACGAAGGUUUAUAACUUUUACGCUUCAGCUUUUUCUGUCUUUUAAUCCUUCCGAAAACAAUACUAGUCAAUUUGCUGAUUUGGGUCGGUAUUCGAUCAUGAAUCUUGUUUAGUAGCAUACUAUUUCAUUGGAAUAAUAAUACAUUCUGGGAAAAAUUAUUUAAUCUAACUAAAAUUAUUGAUUCUGUAAAUACCACUUUGUUGAUUUCAAUGGAUAUUGUUUGUAAAAUUAAUAUAGUAUGACUAUUGCGUGUUUGGGAAAGCUUUUAAUGAAACUGAGUAUUAUAAAAACAAAAAAACAAAUAAAGAGUUUUAUGAAAAUUGUCAAAACUUAUUAUUGUUAAUUUGUGUUGUUAGAUCAUAGAUGUGUAUGCUCACAAUUGUUAAACUUUGUUUUUGGACACAAUAGUUUAUUAUGCGUAUCCUCUUUAAUAAGUGAGUAACUUAAUCAAGAUUUAUUGAUCACUGUAUAUAUUCUGUAGGUAUAUUUUGCCAUUUAUACAUAAAGCAACUGUAGAACAAUUGUAUUUUAAAUGUAAAUUAUUCUUGUAUUGUUGCCAUUUGUAUAAUAUAAACUAACUGUUUACCUUAGUUUGUAAAAACCUUUGUAAAAAAACAUUUCCUGUGUGAAUGCUCAUAUAUAUAUUAAACUGUUAAAAUAAUGCACAGUACCAGAAAAAAAUAGUCAAUUACACAGUAAGGGAAAGUGUUGUCAUAUGCUAACAAUUGUAUAAAAUUGCAAUUGUCUCUAUUUGUAAUAAUAGAGAGCAAUAUUAUUUGCUUAAAAAAUAAAGAUGUCUGCUUUGUAAAUUAAUAAUUGUGUUUACAUCUCAACAUAACACGUAAAUACAUUAAAGUCUAAAAGGAUUUUUUGGAAUAAACACUUAAAUAAAUAUAUGUGCGUGUAUACGCUGAUAAAAAAAAUUUACAUUUCAUUUAGUUUGUAACAGCGCA